CCAAAACCAAGUGUACAGAGCCCUCUGGGGGAAACCACAUUAGCCAAAAACUUACCAACCUCUACUGUACCUUCCAAAGGGCAUUCAGUAAAAGUAUCUACAGCCAAGACACCAGAGAACCAAAUCAGAACAGAAAUUGGAAAUACAGCUCAAAGCACGAAACCAGCAGAGAGUUCAGAGACUAGUGACUCCUCAGAGAGUGGUGAGGAUGAGGAGCCCAGGCCACUAACCCAGACAAAAUCACCUAGAAAAACACCUCAGGCAGCCACAGCAGUAGUGAAGAAUGCACCAUUAAGUACACCAUCCAGCAAAGUCUCUGUUUCAAGUCCAAUGAAACAAACUCCAAAACCAUCUGCGGCAAAGUUGCGAACCCCAUCAAAGAAAGCAGAGAGCUCAGAGAGCAGCGAGUCCUCAUCUGAGAGUGAAGAAGAAACUCAUCCAAUUCCAGUGAGCCAGAAGAGAUUGCAAACCCCGCCGCAUCCUGCUGGAGCUAAACAAAUUCAGGCUGAUAAAGGAAAGGAAGCAGUGAAUGAGAGCAGCAGCUCAUCUGACAGUGAAGAUGAAACAGUUCCAAUGGCUCUCAAAUCACCCCCUCGACCCGCAACCAAGGCAAGUACUCCAGCUCAGCCUGCCGGUGCCACGAAACCUGUAUCAGGAUCACUCCAGAAAGCCCAGCAGAGCGAAGACAGUAGCCAGGAUUCCAGCGAUGAGUCUGACUCUGAAGAAGACACAGUAUACACUCAGAAACCAUCUCAGGUGUCACAGAAACCUGUUUCCACUCCCGUGAAAGCUGUGACUGCAAAGAGUGCAAGUGUCACAGUAAACAAACCAGGAAAUUCUCAGCCAGGAGGAAAAGGGACAGCAAGCCCUGCAAAGCCAGUGGCUGUCUGUCUUCAGAAAGCAUCCGGGAGCUCUGAAACAGACAGCUCUGAUUCUUCAGAUUCCAAGACAGCUGCAAAAACAACAAAACAGCCCCCAAUUCAUCCUUUUUUUAAGCAGGUGGCAAGUAAAGCCAUUGCUGCUUCACCAAAAGGCCCACAGGUCAGUUCCAGUCCAAGUCUGGCCCCAGUAACAAAAAGGAAAGUGGAGCAAAACUCUUCCAAAAAGGCCAGACUGAGCCAAGGCCAAGCUCUUCCUGUUAAACCUUCUGGACCCCUCGAAAGCAAGGAGAGCUCAGGAAGCAGCACUUCCUCAGACAGCGAGGAAGAAGAGGAGAAAAAGGCAGCAAAACCAUCAGCAACAGCCAAACAAAUUCCACAGCCUGGCAUAGCCCAAAAAAGAGGGAUAAAAAAAAAAGACAGCUCAUCUGAAGAGUCCAGUGAUGAAGACCAGAAGCCUUCACAGUCCCUCUUGGCAGGUUCCUCCACCCCUUUUAAAACCACAACGUCUCCUGUGCUGCUGUCCAAACAGAGUCCUGCUAAAGCUGGGAAUCUGGGCAUCAGUGAGAAAUCAGCAAUUGCUGACAGCUCAUCAAGUGACAGUAGUGACUCAAACACGGAUGCUGAAGUAGCAAUUGCUCAGAAGGCAGAAACUAGCUCCUUGCCGGCUUCUGGGAAAGAAGCAAUUGUGGCCAAAGAGACUGCAGGUAAGGGGGCUACGGCAGGGAAAAAAGGACCAGGAAGGGACUCCUCCAAAGCCUCUGCCACCAAGAAGGCUACAGCAAAGACUCAAAGCAACGGGAAGGCAAAAGAAACCCUGGCCGCCAAGUUGCCAGUCACUUCUUUGUUCAAAGCUAACCCUACAGAUGUCAGUUCUAAGAGCAACGAGGGCCCUGUGGCCCAGGUUCCUGGCACAGGAGCUCUAGAUAAUACAGAUGGGGCCACCCCUGUCGUGGACAUCAAGACUCCAAAAGAAACAAAGGCACCCAAGAGCGGGGAGAAAAAGAAGCCAUCCAAGAAGCGGAAACUGGCAACAGGGGAAACUGUCUCAGGAGAGCCAAAAGAGAAGAAGUUGAAAGAGGAGAACAUUCUUGAUAUGCUGACCAAGAAAAAGAAGAAGAAGAAAUCUAAGUCCUCGGACAAUACUAAGCUGGCAAAGAAAGAUGGCAAAGAGAAAAAAUCAGAUAAGAAGAAAAAGAAGAGUAAAAAAAUGGAAUCCAUUAGUAAAGAUGGUUUGCAGAAGAAAAAGAAGAAAAAGAAGAAAAUAGGCAACCUUGAGGGAGCAGCAUGAUCAC
rnacentral:lncRNA from 1 species